GAGGCCAAAGAAUGACCGGGUGGUAACGUGCGUGUGUAAGCGCAGAGGCUGGAGGGAAGAAGGUAACCGGCUGGGAGAAAACCACUCCGCUUAUCUUUUAGGCCACCUACGCCUGAAGCCAACCCUGUUAGGUGGAGAUAAUGGGCGGUCUGACUCACCGCAAUCUGGCAGAUAAAGAGGAUACAACGCAGAGCGUACCAGCGCGCCCAGGUGGUCAAAAUAGUAACAUUUGCUCAUAUCCUCUUUUCAGGCAGCGACCUACCUGCUCCCAUAACUCUAAAUCUAAGGUUCCUUGAUCAGGAAACCAAGGGCAUCCCUGCCGAAUUAAAAGCAUAAGCUUGUGUAGAGCUCCAGGCUCUACAGUGCACUGGAUAGCCUUAAGUAGCUGUUGCACUGUUUUAAAAAAUACUUUCUGUUCUUUGGUCAUUUCCUGACCCAUGAUGACCCAACCCCUGGUAUUUUACGCGUGGGUCCCGUCCUCCUAAUGGCAAUCAGGACUGUCCCUUACUGGGAUUCCCCAAAAAUUAAGGAGUUUUCCUCCUUCACGUGCAACUUCAAGGCGAUCACUUCGGGCGCACCACUUGUAGAGUUUAUAGCUUGCAGUGAACGCCCAGAAUGAGUUCUCAGACAAUUCCAGCUGAGCGGAGCGGCGGACCACUCUUCUGAGAGAGUGUCACCCCAGAAUCCAUCCGCCAAGUAUUUAUUGAAAGGGCUUGUUAAACUACAAACAUCCACUAGAUGGCCUCUUGAGGUCGGGUCGUGACACACCUGUGGCCUUCUAAAAGCAUUCAAACCACAUUCUCAGGAGGCUGUUUUCAGCGUUCCUCAUGACACACUCCACUCCUUGUCCUGUUUUCAGGGUCAAGGAGUUACAUUUCCAUGCACAAAUAACAUACACACAGUGCCUCCGUCUUUUUCCAUGCCCCGACCUCAAAUGCUUUGUAUACAAGCUUGAAUUUGUUGCCAUGCACCCCCAACAACCCUCUGCCCAUUUGGCUGGCAAAGCAACUGGUUGUGCCCUCAAUAAACAGUACUGACUUUGGGAA
rnacentral:lncRNA from 1 species